rnacentral:rRNA from 1 species
UACGUAGGGUGCGAGCGUUAAUCGGAAUUACUGGGCGUAAAGCGUGCGCAGGCGGUUUUGUAAGCCAGAUGUGAAAGCCCCGGGCUUAACCUGGGAAUGGCAUUUGGGACUGCAAGGCUUGAGUGCGGCAGAGGAGACUGGAAUUCCUGGUGUAGCAGUGAAAUGCGUAGAUAUCAGGAGGAAUACCGAUGGCGAAGGCAGGUCUCUGGGCUGACACUGGCGCUCAUGCACGAAAGCGUGGGGAGCAAACAGG